rnacentral:rRNA from 1 species
AUAAAUCUUAACUUUUUAAAUUUAGAUAUAAUAAUUUACAUAUAAGAAUUUCUUUCUAUUUAAUUAAAUUGAGUUUAUGUAUUUUUUUAGAGUUUAUAGAAUUGUGAUUAUAUUAUAUAAUAUUUCAGUAAUUAUAUAUAGACCAGUAAAUUUUGUGCCAGCAGCUGCGGUUAGACUAGUGGUCUUUUUUUAAAGAUAUUUAUAUUAAUAAAAAUAUUAGAUAUUUUAGUUUUAGGUGAAAUUUUAAUUAUUAUUUACUUGAUUUAUGAUUUUUAAGUAAUUAAUAUUAAACUAGGAUUAGAUACCCUACUAUAUAAUUGAGUUUUGAGAAGUAAAUAUAAAAUUAAAGGAUAUGGCGGCUUUUUUAUAUUAGAGGAGAUUGUAAAUAUAAAACGACAUGACUCGCUUGGUGCUUAUUUUGUUUAUGUAUACCGUCAUUUUAAUAAUAUUAAGGGAUAUUUUUAAAAUUUGAUUAAAAAUGUUAGAUCAAGGUGCAGAUAUAUGUAAGAAAUUAUUAUCUACAUUAUAGAUCUAUAGACGAAUAUUUAUUUGAAGGUGAAUUUAAUUGUAAUUAUUUGUAUAUGACUAGAUUAAAAUAGUGCACAAAUUGCCCGUCAUUCUCUUUGAGAUAAGUCGAAACAAAGUAGAACUACCUGAAGGUGGUUCUGA